AGAGUUUGAUCAUGGCUCAGGAUGAACGCUAGCUACAGGCUUAACACAUGCAAGUCGAGGGGAAACGACAUCGAAAGCUUGCUUUUGAUGGGCGUCGACCGGCGCACGGGUGAGUAACGCGUAUCCAACCUGCCCACCACUUGGGGAUAACCUUGCGAAAGUAAGACUAAUACCCAAUGACGUCUCUAGAAGACAUCUGAAAGAGAUUAAAGAUUUAUCGGUGAUGGAUGGGGAUGCGUCUGAUUAGCUUGUUGGCGGGGUAACGGCCGCCAAGGCUACGAUCAGUAGGGGUUCUGAGAGGAAGGUCCCCCACAUUGGAACUGAGACACGGUCCAAAACUCCUACGGGAAGCCA
rnacentral:rRNA from 1 species